rnacentral:rRNA from 1 species
AUUGAACGCUGGCGGCAUGCCUUACACAUGCAAGUCGAACGGCAGCACGGGUGCUUGCACCUGGUGGCGAGUGGCGAACGGGUGAGUAAUACAUCGGAACAUGUCCUGUAGUGGGGGAUAGCCCGGCGAAAGCCGGCUUAAUACCGCAUACGAUCUACGGAUGAAAGCGGGGGACCUUCGGGCCUCGCGCUAUAGGGUUGGCCGAUGGCUGAUUAGCUAGUUGGUGGGGUAAAGGCCUACCAAGGCGACGAUCAGUAGCUGGUCUGAGAGGACGACCAGCCACACUGGGACUGAGACACGGCCCAGACUCCUACGGGAGGCAGCAGUGGGGAAUUUUGGACAAUGGGCGAAAGCCUGAUCCAGCAAUGCCGCGUGUGUGAAGAAGGCCUUCGGGUUGUAAAGCACUUUUGUCCGGAAAGAAAUCCUUGGCCCUAAUACGGUCGGGGGAUGACGGUACCGGAAGAAUAAGCACCGGCUAACUACGUG